rnacentral:snRNA from 1 species
UGUCACAGGGCAACUCUUAGACAAUAUAAAGGAGUAGAGACAAUACCAUAGAGAAGAUUAGCAUGGUCCCUGUGCAAGGAUGACACGCAAAUUCAUGAAGAAUUCCAUAUUUUU